CACCGCGGUUAUACGAGAGGCCCAAGCUGACAAUUGCCGGCGUAAAGAGUGGUUAAUAAACCCGCCAUACUAAAGCCGAACAUCUCCAAAGUUGUACAACGCACUCGAAGAUACGAAGAUCUGCCACGAAAGUGACUUUACACUCUUUGAACCCACGAAAGCUAAGAAA
rnacentral:rRNA from 1 species